rnacentral:rRNA from 1 species
GGGGAAUUUUGGACAAUGGGCGCAAGCCUGAUCCAGCCAUGCCGCGUGCAGGAUGAAGGCCUUCGGGUUGUAAACUGCUUUUGUACGGAACGAAAAGGUGCCUUCUAAUAAAGGGCGCUCAUGACGGUACCGUAAGAAUAAGCACCGGCUAACUACGUGCCAGCAGCCGCGGUAAUACGUAGGGUGCGAGCGUUAAUCGGAAUUACUGGGCGUAAAGCGUGCGCAGGCGGUUUUGUAAGACAGAGGUGAAAUCCCCGGGCUCAACCUGGGAACUGCCGUUGUGACUGCAAGGCUGGAGUGCGGCAGAGGGGGAUGGAAUUCCGCUUGUAGCAGUGAAAUGCGUAGAUAUGCGGAGGAACACCGAUGGCGAAGGCAAUCCCCUGGGCCUGCACUGACGCUCAUGCACGAAAGCGUGGGGAGCAAACA